CCUACGGGAGGCAGCAGUGAGGAAUAUUGGUCAAUGGGCGCGAGCCUGAACCAGCCAAGUAGCGUGAAGGAUGACUGCCCUAUGGGUUGUAAACUUCUUUUAUAAAGGAAUAAAAUGAGGCACGUGUGCCUUUUUGUAUGUACUUUAUGAAUAAGGCUCGGCUAACUCCGGGCCAGCAGCCGCGGUAAUACGGAGGAUCCGAGCGUUAUCCGGAUUUAUUGGGUUUAAAGGGAGCGUAGAUGGGUUGUUAAGUCAGUUGUGAAAGUUUGCGGCUCAACCGUACAAGUGCAAUUGAUACUGGGAGUCUUGAGUACAGUUGAGGUAGGCGGAAUUCGUGGUGUAGCGGUGAAAUGCUUAGAUAUCACGAAGAACUCCGAUUGCGAAGGCAGCUUACUAAACUGCCACUGACAUUGAGGCUCGAAAGUGGGGGUAUCAAACAGGAUUAGAGACCCUUGUAGUC
rnacentral:rRNA from 1 species